rnacentral:rRNA from 1 species
UACGAAGGGGGCUAGCGUUGCUCGGAAUUACUGGGCGUAAAGGGCGCGUAGGCGGUCUUGUAAGUCUUGUGUGAAAUCCCUCGGCUUAACUGAGGAACUGCACGGGAUACUGCAUGACUUGAGAUCGGGAGAGGGAAGCGGAAUUCCGGGUGUAGCGGUGAAAUGCGUAGAUAUUCGGAGGAACACCAGUGGCGAAGGCGGCUCACUGGUCCGGUACUGACGCUGAGGUGCGAAAGCGUGGGGAGCAACAGG